GACUGCCGCCGGCGCAAGGUGAGCCCCCGCCCUCACCCCGCCCCCGCCGCUGCGCGCCCGCCGCAGGGAGCCAGAACGCCUAGGAGCCCCUACGCUCCGGGACUUGGCGGGAGGCGGUUUCGUCCCGGCCGCGCUUUCUCUGGCAUCUGUGCUGCUUCUUCCCGGGUCUCUGUGUGGAGCAGUCCGCACUCCCUAGCCUAGGGCUGUUGGAGCGGAGCGUGCUGCGACCGCGUAUCCUAGUCCCCAAGCCCUGCCUCCUGGAGAUGCUGCACGUGUGAGUGGCAGGGCUUUAUUUGAAUUUCCGCACCUCGAGAGUUGCGGAGCCUGCUUCUCUGACGCUGACUGAGUGAAGAACUACAGUCUUCUUUCUGCCCCCUUUGGGAGAGUAGCUGUCUGUGCAAAUUACCAGGUUGCAUCUUCACUGAUCGGAAUACAAGUGGGUGUAUCUUCUUUUGGUUUAUAUGUAGGAAUGGGUCUACAACUUCCUCAGAGCAACUUACUUAUG
rnacentral:lncRNA from 1 species